GCCCAGUGACUUUUUAAACGGCCGCGGUAUCCUAACCGUGCAAAGGUAGCAUAAUCACUUGUCCCCUAAAUAGGGACUAGUAUGAACGGUCAAAUGAGGACUUAACUGUCUCUUACAUUCUACCAAUAAAACUGAUCUUUCAGUUAAAAAGCUGAAAUAUUAACAUAAGACGAGAAGACCCUGUGGAGCUUAAAACCAAACUCAACUUACUUGUUCCAUUGGUUUUUAGUUGGGGCGACUUCGGAGAACAAAAAAACCUCCAACACUAAUUUUACCAAGACCAACACAUCAACGUAAUUAUCUUGACCCAGUGAGUUCACCAAAACCAUCUGAUCAAUGAACCAAGUUACCCCAGGGAUAACAGCGCCAUCCCCUUUUAGAGUCCCUAUCGACAAGGGGGCUUACGACCUCGAUGUUGGAUCAGGACACCCAAAUAGUGCAGCCGCUAUUAAAGGUUCGUUUGUUCAACGAUUAAAGUCCUACGUGAUCUGAGUUUCAGA
rnacentral:rRNA from 1 species